GGGUGUCUUGGCUGUGUGGGGACUUUAAUCAUAUACAGUAUGUGGCUCUGGUUGGCGUGUGUGUGACUAAGAAUGAAAGAUUGUCAAGUGCCUGUGACUGUCAAGUUUAAAAGUUUGUGAGAUCAGUGUUUAACUGAAUAAGCUGUGUGUCGCUCCCCGGUGAGCAGAGCAGUGGCAACCACCUGUGGAAGGGUUGUGCCCCACUGCACCAAACCUGGAAGCGUAUGCAGCAGACAACGGCUUCACAAACUUUUGUAGG